rnacentral:rRNA from 1 species
UACGGGGGGGGCAAGCGUUGUUCGGAAUUACUGGGCGUAAAGGGCUCGUAGGCGGCCAACUAAGUCAGACGUGAAAUCCCUCGGCUUAACCGGGGAACUGCGUCUGAUACUGGAUGGCUUGAGUUUGGGAGAGGGAUGCGGAAUUCCAGGUGUAGCGGUGAAAUGCGUAGAUAUAGGAAGGAACAUCAGUUGCGAAGGCGGCUCACUGGAUCAAUACUGACGCUGAGGUGCGAAAGCGUGGGUAGCGAACAGG